GAGGAAGGUGGGGAUGACGUCAAGUCCUCAUGGCCCUUACGCGUUGGGCUACACACGUGCUACAAUGGCGACUACAGUGGGCAGCCACCUCGCGAGAGGGAGCUAAUCUCCAAAAGUCGUCUCAGUUCGGAUCGUUCUCUGCAACUCGAGAGCGUGAAGGCGGAAUCGCUAGUAAUCGCGGAUCAGCAUGCCGCGGUGAAUACGUUCCCAGGCCUUGUACACACCGCCCGUCACACCAUGGGAGUUGGAUUCACUCGAAGGCGUUGAGCUAACCGCAAGGAGGCAGGCGACCACAGUGGGUUUAGCGACUGGGGUGAAGUCGUAACAAGGUAGCCGUAGGGGAACC
rnacentral:rRNA from 1 species